GACGAACGCUGGCGGCGUGCCUAAUACAUGCAAGUAGAACGCUGAAGGAGGAGCUUGCUUCUCCGGAUGAGUUGCGAACGGGUGAGUAACGCGUAGGUAACCUGCCUGGUAGCGGGGGAUAACUAUUGGAAACGAUAGCUAAUACCGCAUAACAGUAGAUGUUGCAUGACAUUUGCUUAAAAGGUGCAAUUGCAUCACUACCAGAUGGACCUGCGUUGUAUUAGCUAGUUGGUGGGGUAACGGCUCACCAAGGCGACGAUACAUAGCCGACCUGAGAGGGUGAUCGGCCACACUGGGACUGAGACACGGCCCAGACUCCUACGGGAGGCAGCAGUAGGGAAUCUUCGGCAAUGGACGGAAGUCUGACCGAGCAACGCCGCGUGAGUGAAGAAGGUUUUCGGAUCGUAAAGCUCUGUUGUAAGAGAAGAACGAGUGUGAGAGUGGAAAGUUCACACUGUGACGGUAUCUUACCAGAAAGGGACGGCUAACUACGUGCCAGCAGCCGCGGUAAUACGUAGGUCCCGAGCGUUGUCCGGAUUUAUUGGGCGUAAAGCGAGCGCAGGCGGUUAGAUAAGUCUGAAGUUAAAGGCUGUGGCUUAACCAUAGUACGCUUUGGAAACUGUUUAACUUGAGUGCAAGAGGGGAGAGUGGAAUUCCAUGUGUAGCGGUGAAAUGCGUAGAUAUAUGGAGGAACACCGGUGGCGAAAGCGGCUCUCUGGCUUGUAACUGACGCUGAGGCUCGAAAGCGUGGGGAGCAAACAGG
rnacentral:rRNA from 1 species